UACAAAAUUCAAUCUUCUGCUUUUGUUUUGAUGUUACAACAUUCAAUUUUCUGUUCUUGUUUUUCUAAGGACACCUAUGGAGUGUUCUUGUUUUCAAGACUCUGAAAGCUGACCCUAGAAGAAUCGAAUAGUUAGGAUCCUCUCCAAAGAAGUUAUUGCAGACACUCCUAGAUGCAGUCUUUGGAUCCACACGCUGAACCUAGAUGAGGAAUUCGAUGCUGCUGUUCUUAUUGAGCUGAUAGAACUGGAAUCACAUAUACUGUGGUAAGCUCAUUUAUGGAUAUUUGAAUGACUUUAUGGACCAUGCUUGGGUUAAUGAUAGGGCAGAAAUUCCAUUAAAGCAGAAUACUAUUAGUUAAUCCAUUGGUGACAUGCAUUAGUGAUACUUGAAAAGUUAUACAGUAGUGGGGACUUUUAUCGUUUUAGCUCAUCCCCCUAUUAAGAUUUGUAGGUGUUUUAUAUGAACUUAAGAUUCUCCCAUUCACCCUCAGUGACUCAAAUCCUUU
rnacentral:lncRNA from 1 species